rnacentral:rRNA from 1 species
CCUACGGGAGGCAGCAGUGGGGAAUUUUGGACAAUGGACGCAAGUCUGAUCCAGCCAUGCCGCGUGUGGGAAGAAGGCCUUCGGGUUGUAAACCACUUUUGUCAGGGAAGAAACGGCUCACUCUAAUACAGAGGGCUAAUGACGGUACCUGAAGAAUAAGCACCGGCUAACUACGUGCCAGCAGCCGCGGUAAUACGUAGGGUGCAAGCGUUAAUCGGAAUUACUGGGCGUAAAGCGUGCGCAGGCGGUUAUGCAAGACAGAUGUGAAAUCCCCGGGCUCAACCUGGGAACUGCAUUUGUGACUGCAUGGCUAGAGUACGGUAGAGGGGGAUGGAAUUCCGCGUGUAGCAGUGAAAUGCGUAGAUAUGCGGAGGAACACCGAUGGCGAAGGCAAUCCCCUGGACCUGUACUGACGCUCAUGCACGAAAGCGUGGGGAGCAAACAGGAUUAGAUACCCUGGUAGUCCACGCCCUAAACGAUGUCAACUGGUUGUUGGGAGGGUUUCUUCUCAGUAACGUAGCUAACGCGUGAAGUUGACCGCCUGGGGAGUACGGCCGCAAGGUUGAAACUCAAAUGAAUUGACCGGNUGAGAGNGCGAGGCGACACGAGGGGAGGAGG